rnacentral:rRNA from 1 species
UACGAAGGGGGCUAGCGUUGCUCGGAAUCAUUGGGCGUAAAGCGCGCGUAGGCGGCUCGAUCAGUCUGCUGUGAAAGUCAAAGGCUCAACCUUUGAAUGCCGGUGGAUACUGUCGAGCUAGAGUCCGGAAGAGGCGGGUGGAAUUCCUGGUGUAGCGGUGGAAUGCGCAGAUAUCAGGAGGAACACCAACGGCGAAGGCAGCCCGCUGGGACGGUACUGACGCUAAGGCGCGAAAGCGUGGGGAGCGAACAGG